UAGAGGAAGUAAAAGUCGUAACAAGGUUUCCGUAGGUGAACCUGCGGAAGGAUCAUUAUUGAAAUAAAUCUGAUGAGUUGCUGCUGGUUCUUUAGGGAGCAUGUGCACACUCGUCGUCUUCAUAUCUCCACCUGUGCACUUUUUGUAGACCUGGAUAUCUCUCUGAAUGCUAGUCACUCAGGUUUGGGGAUUGACUUCAUCAUGUCUCUCCUUACACUUCCGGGCCUAUGUUUAUUCAUAUACUCCGUCGUACAAUGUAACCAAAUGGCCUUUAUGCCUAUAAAUCUAUACAACUUUCAGCAACGGAUCUCUUGGCUCUCGCAUCGAUGAAGAACGCAGCGAAAUGCGAUAAGUAAUGUGAAUUGCAGAAUUCAGUGAAUCAUCGAAUCUUUGAACGCACCUUGCGCUCCUUGGUAUUCCGAGGAGCAUGCCUGUUUGAGUGUCAUUAUAAUAUCGAUCUCUUCAGCUUUUGUUUGUUGAGUAUUGGAUGUGGAGGUCUUUUGCUGGCCUUCCCAGGUCAGCUCCUCUGAAAUAUAUUAGCUGAGCAAUUGUGGAUCGCUCAUUGGUGUGAUAACUAUCUACGCUAUCGACGUGAAACAGCUUAGCUUCUAACAGUCCAAUUGAUGUGGACUCAUUCUUCAUUAAUGUGACCUCAAAUCAGGUAGGACUACCCGCUGAACUUAAGCAUAUCAAUA
rnacentral:rRNA from 1 species